rnacentral:sRNA from 1 species
AACUCAAUUGUGUAAUAACACACACAAAUCGACACGUGCACCGGGGUGCUCUUAUGCGUUUUAACGCAGCUUUGGAGUCGGUAGCAUGGGAUUUGUGGAGGCAUAAC